UGGGGAAUAUUGCACAAUGGGCGCAAGCCUGAUGCAGCCAUGCCGCGUGUAUGAAGAAGGCCUUCGGGUUGUAAAGUACCUUCAGCGAGGAGGAAGGCGAUGCGGUUAAUAACCGUGUCGAUUGACGUUACUCGCAGAAGAAGCACCGGCUAACUCCGUGCCAGCAGCCGCGGUAAUACGGAGGGUGCAAGCGUUAAUCGGAAUUACUGGGCGUAAAGCGCACGCAGGCGGUCUGUCAAGUCGGAUGUGAAAUCCCCGGGCUCAACCUGGGAACUGCAUUCGAAACUGGCAGGCUUGAGUCUUGUAGAGGGGGGUAGAAUUCCAGGUGUAGCGGUGAAAUGCGUAGAGAUCUGGAGGAAUACCGGUGGCGAAGGCGGCCCCCUGGACAAAGACUGACGCUCAGGUGCGAAAGCGUGGGGAGCAAACA
rnacentral:rRNA from 1 species